CGACAUCAGACUGAUGUCUAGUCGAGGCCCCGCUGAGGACGAACGGCACACAGCGGAGCUUCGUUUCAAUUCUUUGGUUUGGUCUCGGAUAUUAAAGACGGCGGUGAGAUGUCCGUUCACAGUGAACAGCAGGUGUUCGGCACUACUUCCCAACCAGACGCCUUUUUACCGGCCAUCAUUUCAAUGGAAGUCUACGCCGCUGAAUCCAACUAUUGCACACUCGUCGUACCAUCUGCUUCAGUGUAUACAGUGUUGCAUAUGCCCUACACACCUCCCUAUUACUCAACAUCACAGUGGGAACCUUUAAUUUCACUUUCACCGUGCAGCUAUAUUCCUGUUUCAAGAAGAUGGGGACAGAAAACCUGGCACAGGGGACAGAAAGAGUCCUAGAAGAGAGAAGACCGGGAGCAGGGAGACACACACAAAGGCACUGAGCUGCAGGUGGAUGUGAUGAUGUUUGUCUCAGCAGCACAGAGAGGACAGCACGUACAGAUCAUAGGAUCAUGCUCCCAAGCAGAAAUACAUUUUUUUUCCCGCAUUUGAUCCCCAGAGUGUCCGUCUGAACAGAAUGAACACAUGCAACAGACACAGUUUUUAAGGCUUGCACACAGGCAGCUCGUAGCAUACGAUUAGAUAAGCCUUAUUUGCAUGCCAGUACGUGAUUGGAAAAGCAUUAUUAUUGAGUGAGUGGAAGAGACACAAUGAUCUAGAACUGGCAGUCCGGAAAAAUAAAUGGUUGAGGGAUAAAAAAAAAAAAAAGAGAUGAUGGGCACAGAAAUAGAGUUUGAAUUUUAAACAUUACUUAAUAUUCUCAGUGAGUUACAGUGUGCAGGGAAGAGACAAAGUGGUCAAACUAAUCAACAAGCCCACAUUUAGUUUUCAUUUUUAAUGAUGUCGCACCAUGCUGCUUUUGACAUACGCACCUCGUUGCCAUGGAAGCGGGGACAAUGGCGACGACAGUGGAGCUUGGUUAGAAGUCAUAUUCUGUCAGAGACCGCGGAGAGUAAUGAGCUUGUUGUUUGUUCAGAAGCUAUUCUAACCAGUGAUUGCGUGGCAGUGACAGAAUUUCGUGUCUGAAAUAAAAAUACAAACUCAAGUGAGUUCCAAUUUUGUCAUCUCCUGACAGACAAACAAAGAAAAGGGAAAGUCAUUUGGUGUGCAGAAGAUUCAAUAUGCAGUGCAAAAGCCUUGAUUAACAUUAUAAUACAACUUUUUAACGUCACUUUUGAUGGGCUUUUGGCUCUUACCAGACUUCAAGCAUGAACUCACCUAUAAUAAAAAUGGUAUUAUUGAAAAGCUUACAUUUUUAUCAGAGCAAUCUUUACGGAAAUUAUUUUUCUUCUCAAAAAAUCUCCAUAACGUUGACUUAUCUUAUCCUAGUUUUGUCUCAUAACUUUUGUACUGUACUAACAUUUUAAGUAUCUAGCAUUUUAACCAAAUUUAUUUUGUAAACCUAAAAACAUGGUUUAUUUUGACAAGAUAUGCCUGUAACAGGCGGCAAUAUGAAAGUUUGAGUAGGGCCACAAAGUGUCAGUUUUCAAAGGUUGAGUGAGAAUUUGUUGAUCUGUGGAUUUAAUGUAUUUUCAUUUUAAACCAGCGUCCGUUAACGGUUUGAAUGCUAAAAAAUGAAUAACAAAGGCAUUUAAUUUCAUCAAUUUCAGUCCCUUAAAAAUAUAUACAAUACUUUUUAUACAUACACAAAACAUUUUACUGAGAAUGAUUUUUGUAUUUACUUGUAUUGCUUGGUGGUUUGAGGAAGACCACUUUGAAAAAUGUAAACCCAGUCUUUUAUCAGGAACAACAUUCUUUUAUAUUGAAAAGAGAGCAGAUGCAAGUGACAGCAGCCAGAAACAGAUGGAGGGAAACUAUCGCUUUCUUCUUCGAGUGUUCCGUACCCGAUGAUCCCUCGGAUUGACCCUUUGCUGUGAUGCAAUGGCUGACUGCUGGAAACGCCAGAGGAAAUAUGAGCUGUAUAUUCAGCGGAGUGAUGGAUACAUGCACCACUGCACCGCUGUGUUCUUGGUUAACAGGUUUACUGUGUUCUCACAGGGUAAUCCCACUCUGACUCGGGUUACUAUGGAACACUUUGACGUCCACCACUGUGUGUGAAUGUGUGUGUGUGGGUUUACUACAAAUUCAUACAAACAGUUGUGUUAAUCUCCAGUUUUGUUAAUUCUCUAAAGACGUCCAAAAGAACACAUUAUGAGUAUGUGCUUUUAUCAUAAGUACAGGGAUAUUUUGGGAAGAUUUGUGAGCACACGUCAAACUCAUCAGUGCCUUCUUGAGACUCUGUACGCCGUGCUUUAUCCUUUGUGAGAUGCAUGUAAUGGUAAAAUAUGUUAUAACAUUGUCUUGUGUCUCAAGUGUCUGUAUUUGACCCUGAACAAAACUUUUAAUUGGCAGCUGUGUCCUGAGAAGGGAGGGUGGUCAACUCGAUCUCAUAGAUGCUCCAUCAAAGGGAAUUCUGUUCAUGGCCUUGCUUCAUAUCUUAUUUGGUAUGAAAGUUUUCAUAUACGUGUUUCUACUUUUUGUCUAUUAAUUCUAAUUUGCACCUGCCACUGAGGAUGACCUUGUUGUGUA
ensembl:lncRNA